ensembl:lncRNA
AUGAAUAACACCAAUGAUCUCUUACAUUGUAUUAUAUUUGAUGUAUAAAAUGUACAAUAAUUAUUAAAUUCCUGUUUUGUUCAGGGGACUUAAGAACAAUGUGAGCUGGUCUUUGAGUACAUCACUGAUCGAUAUCCUCCUGGACAUCUUCCUCCCUCAAGAUCAGUCAGCAUUCAUGCAUCCAGGACCCGAAUGCCAGACACCUCCCAGUGCUCCCUCCCAACGCAGCAUUUCAUAUGCAGAAAAUAGCACUAUGAAUUAUUAUGACACCCUGUGUGAUAGCUACAAUCUGGCCACCAUCAACGACACAAUGUGUGCUGACAUCCUCUCGAGUUCAGGAGUAGAGUCUUCCACGCCUGUGAUCACAUUUUGCGAGGCUCUAAGCUCCCUCAGCUCCAACCAAAUUAAGAAUGUGUGGAGCAACAUGUGUUAUGUUAUUCAAACACUGGCUUCUCCACUUGUCAGCAGGUCAUCUGACUGCAGUUUUGACAAUGCAGGGCCGGCCCCUGCCGCCACCCCUCUCCCUAAACCUCGUCGAGUUGCCAGGGAAGCCUCCAACCUCAAACAACUUGCAUGCAACUACAACGACUGGUUGCAAAAUGAUGUGGACCCUGUCCUUGUGUCACUGUGCAGUGACAAUGAACAUGUGGAGUUUGUGAAGCAGGUCUGUAGCAAUGCUGUGUUGAUGCGGAAGCUGCUCUCUGACAAGAUGAACAGCUGGUUGUAUGGAUACUGUGCUAACUCCUCUGCAGACCACAGUUACAUGGUCAGUGAGUUCUGCCAGUAUGACCAGUGGCUUAACAAAUUCACAAACAUGGUGGAUACCUCCCUGCUGGUGUUCUGCAUGAGCCUCGACAGUGUCAGACUGACCGAACUCAUCUGUGAGAACACUGGCUUCUUUAUGUUUAUAAUGUCUAACCCUGAAAAUCUUCAGUUCAUGCCUAACUGCACAAACGUACCUCCUCCACUGCCAAUCCCUGGCUUGGAUAUGCAGUUAGAUUUUUGUCACUACUCUGAGUGGCAAGAGAUGGAAAUUACCAAGGAUCUUUUGGCAAUGUGCAUCCGCCUCGACCAGAGCGGUUUCACUAAAAAGGUUUGCUCUAAUGCAACGUUUCUGAAUAACCUCCUUCUUAAUUCACAAAAUACCUGGCUUGAGGAACACUGCCGCACCUCUCUUAGCUUUCCACCCCCCGAGCCUACACAGGCCUUCAACAUUGCAAUGUGGUGUAACUACAAUACGUGGGGAGAACAACAGGUGGACGAUUCGGUGGUCGGACUUUGUUGGCAGAACGAUCAGAUUGCUUUUCAGAAGAAUGUCUGCUGCAAGCAGUCUGUGUUGGAAAAGCUGCUGCAAAAUCCUCUGAACAAAUGGCUUACAUCAGUCUGCAGAGACAUGGAGGAAAUAACCGUACCACCUCAGGCGUGCAAGUACUCUGACUGGACCCGUCCCAUCAUAGUGGACAUGACUGAGGUGGCUCUCUGUGCUGAGAUGGACCCACUUAACUUUACCUCCAAAGUCUGUGCCAAUAAUACAGUCCUACAAAACCUGCUGGCCAAUCAGGACAACACCUGGCUAAUAGAGCACUGUGCCAACUACUCAAAAGACCCAGGGCCAUCUUCUAAUAAAAGUGUGGAAGGAGGAGGCGUGACUAAACAGUGUCAAUACUCCAGCUGGAUCACAUCUCCACCAGAUGCUGCACUCCUGGCUCUAUGCUGGGAGAAUGAUCAGACCAAUUUUUUCUUAUCCAUUUGCCCUAAUGACGGUCUUCUCCUGUUUCUGUCCCGUGAGCCGUGGAGCCAGUGGGUGAACAAGAUGUGUACCACCUACACCAGCUAUACCACUGCCACCACCACCAGCAACAAUAGCAACAACAACACUAGCACCACUACGGACCCUAAUUUUUGCCUAGCAAGAAAUCUGGUGAAGGAGUUCAACUGGAGCUGCUCUACCAUCUUCGCUUCAGCCUGUCAGCCGUGUGCCACUCAGAAUAUGGUCCUGCAGACAGUAGUGCGCUGUUGGGUGGACAGUGUGCGGUCCAGGAUGGUGGAUCUGCUGACUCCACCUGUGGCUAGAGCAUUGGAGCAGGCAGUCAGCACCACUGUGGUUCUCCUGUUAUCCCUGGAGGAGGUUCAGCUCACCCAGUGGCAUGUCACCGAGACAAUACGUCCAAGUGUGCUAAAAUCUGUGGUCAACUAUUUCAAGCUGGAGGACAACUCUGACAACAAGAGAGUCUUACUACAGUGUUUUGGGACGGUGCUAAGCAGCCUGCUGCAGACGGGAAGAAACCUGCAGAACACUGACGAAAUGCUUCUCAUUAAGGUAAGAUAUGUUGUAUAAUAAUACUAAUGCGUAUUGGCAAAAUAUCCAGCAUGUGUUUAUUGUUCACAUUCUUUCCACAUGUGCAGGCGUACUUCAAUUUAUCGCUGAGCAGCCUGAGGCCAGUGCUCAAAGAAGCUCACAAUCACACCAUCAGACUCAUCCUUCAGUACUACGCCAGUGUCAAAGACACACUGCAGGUGAAUAAGACCAACACCACAUCCGCCUUUUAAUUUCCCUUCCCAGAAGUCUUAGUUGUCAGUUUAUCUGUUGUAUCUCUUUGACAUACAGUUUUCUGUCUCACAUUGUUUUCUUCUGUUUGCUAGUUGCCCAAUGAGUACCUGUCCACCAUGGUGUCAGAGAUACUGCAGACCCACCUGGUAAAAGAUGUUACACUUUUCCCUGAGCUGGCUCCAAUGCUGACUAAAGCCAGCCCAGCUGACAUCCAAGCUUUGCCUUCCUCGCAGAACAACAUCAAUGUGUAAGUGAUGGAGUUUCUUUACUAAUGAGCCCACUACUCAUAUUAUGCAUCUAAACAUUAUUAUUUUCGUAACUUACCACAUGUGAGGGAUUAAAACGUUGUCUCUGGUUCCUGAAAGGCUAACAUUUACAUUUUGUUCUUGUGAAUAUCUUGGAAGUAGGGCAUGUUUUACUGGACAUAAUUUUAAACCAACACUAUGAAUUUUGACUCUAACUUUGGCUAUGUUGAACCCUUACAAUAGUAUGUCCACACAUGGCCACUUUAUCAGGUACAAAUUUGCAGGUCUUGAUUGGACCUCCUUUAGAACGACCUUAAUUCUUUGUGCCAUAGAUUCAACAAUGUGCUGAAAACCUCCCGCAGAGAUUUUAGUCCUGAUUAAUGUGAUAAAAUCACAUAGUUCCUGCAGAUUACAUUUGGCUGCACAUCCGUGAUGUGAAUCUCCUGUUUUACCACGUCUGAAAGGCGUUUUACUGGAUUGGGGCCAAAGUGUGCUGAGAAAAGGUUCCUC